UACGGGGGGGGGCAAGCGUUGUUCGGAAUUACUGGGCGUAAAGGGCUCGUAGGCGGCCAACUAAGCCAGAUGUGAAAUCCCCCGGGCUCAACCUGGGAAUGGCAUUUGGGACUGCAAGGCUGGAGUUUGGCAGAGGAGACUGGAAUUCCCGGUGUAGCAGUGAAAUGCGUAGAUAUCGGGAGGAAUACCGAUGGCGAAGGCAGGUCUCUGGGCUAUAACUGACGCUCAUGCACGAAAGCGUGGGGAGCAAACAGG
rnacentral:rRNA from 1 species